rnacentral:rRNA from 1 species
UACGAAUGGAGCGAGCGUUGUUCGGAAUCACUGGGCGUAAAGGGUGCGCAGGCGGUCAUGAAAGUCAGAAGUGAAAUCCCAGGGCUUAACCCUGGAAUGGCUUUUGAAACUCCAUGACUAGAGUACUGGAGAGGUUGGCGGAAUUCCGAGUGUAGAGGUGAAAUUCGCAGAUAUUCGGAGGAACACCAAUGGCGUAGGCAGCCAACUGGACAGUAACUGACGCUCAUGCACGAAAGCGUGGGGAUCAAACAGG